GUAGUCAUGGCCCAGUGGUUAAGGCAAUGGACUAGAAAUCCAUCGGGGUUUCCCUACGCAGUUUCGAACUCCUGCCGACUGCA